rnacentral:rRNA from 1 species
AUUGAACGCUGGCGGCAGGCUUAACACAUGCAAGUCGAGCGAGCGGCGGACGGGUGAGUAAUUUCUGGGAAACUGCCUGAUGGAGGGGGAUAACUACUGUAAACGGUAGCUAAUACCGCUUACCUUCCGAUGUGCCCUGAUUGGAUUAGCUAGUAGGUGGGGUAAUGGCUCACCUAGGCGACGAUCCCUAGCUGGUCUGAGAGGAUGACCGGCCACACGGGAACUGAGACACGGUCCAGACUCCUACGGGAGGCAGCAGUGGGGAAUAUUGCACAAUGGGCGAAAGCCUGACGCAGCCAUGCCGCGUGAGUGAAGAAGGCCUUCGGGUUGUAAAGCUAUGUCAGCGAGGAGGCGUUACUCAAAGAAGAAGCAACGGCUAACUACGUGCCAGCCGCCGCGGUAAUAC